CCUACGGGAGGCAGCAGUCGAGAAUCAUUCACAAUGGGGGAAACCCUGAUGGUGCGACGCCGCGUGGGGGAAUGAAGGUCUUCGGAUUGUAAACCCCUGUCAUGUGGGAGCAAAUUAAAAAGAUAGUACCACAAGAGGAAGAGACGGCUAACUCUGUGCCAGCAGCCGCGGUAAUACAGAGGUCUCAAGCGUUGUUCGGAAUCACUGGGCGUAAAGCGUGCGUAGGCUGUUUCGUAAGUCGUGUGUGAAAGGCGCGGGCUCAACCCGCGGACGGCACAUGAUACUGCGAGACUAGAGUAAUGGAGGGGGAACCGGAAUUCUCGGUGUAGCAGUGAAAUGCGUAGAUAUCGAGAGGAACACUCGUGGCGAAGGCGGGUUACUGGACAUUAACUGACGCUGAGGCACGAAGGCCAGGGGAGCGAAAGGGAUUAGAUACCCCAGUAGUC
rnacentral:rRNA from 1 species